GGGAGGGAUCACCUGUUUAUGCGCUCUGUUUAGCGCGACUCUGUUUUAAAUAUAUAUAAUAAAUUAUAGAGCAGAAAAGACGGUAACUGCUGCCGGCGGACCAGGAAAUGCUCUAAACCUGUCCUUUAUGUUGCUGACCCAUUGUGCAGGCAAUAAAACCGAUGCAUCCAAUGCUGAGCGUCCGAGUCCAAUGCUUGAAGGAAACAAAACACAACGCAGGUUACAGUGGUGCCGUGAUCCCGGAUUCAACUGAUUGGUCGCUGACCAACAACCCUUACCGGAGUGCCUGUUACCAUUCCCACACUGGAGAUCAGCUGAGAACACUUGGCAAUUACAACGGAAGAUCUUCAGGCCCUCAAAAACAUUUGUCCAGAAGCUGCUAUAUUCACAUCCAUCAACACAGCUGCAGACUCGGACACAGACACAGCAUCAGAAUCAGGAUGUGAACUACCUGAGCCCCUGACAGCCAUGUUUGACCCAUCUGCUAGGAACCUGUCGACAGCUGACCUCCAGGAG
ensembl:lncRNA